rnacentral:lncRNA from 1 species
UUCUGUCACCACGCCUGACUAGCUAAAGUAUACCUCAAAGUUGGCAAUUAAACCGGUAAGAACCCAAAAUUGACUGGAGCUUCGGCUUUGGCAUACCAUCAACGUAAAAAAAAACGUCAACACGAUUGGGAAGUGAAAAUUCCAGAAGGGAGGAAGGUAAAUCUGUUCCACCUGUGAUCGGCAAAUGGCAAUCAAAUCGUCAAUAUAUUUUAGCUGCAAACUUGAUCUGGCGGCUCAGGAACCCAAUUUGUUCUUAAGUAUCGGUCACUCAGCAGUAUCUUCUUAAGAUGGGUCGGAAUGAUAUCCAGGACUGGAAACGCGAAUUAGGCCUGGUUCUUGGACUUGGACCAGCGAAACUUACGGCAUGAAUGGCCAUCUAUUAAGGCUCUUGUUUAUUAAAUUAUUACGGUGGCACCAUUUUUUUUAUGCCACUGUUUAGUCUCAUUUUCCCCUUCCCCUGUCAAUCAAUUCCUCUUCUUUUCUGAUAAUGUGGCUGUCAAUCUUUCUGUACCGAUUUGACUUCUGAAUUGACAGGUAUUUUAAUUGUGAAUAUGUUUUUCUGGCCAGUAUUAAUUUUACCAUGGCUGUGUCCUUUUAGAUAAGUACUUUUCUUGAGUAUUUGUGACUGACUGAUCUUGACGUGUGACAUUCAUCGUCACCGACACGUUCUUAAUUUUCUGACAAAGUGGCAUACCCCACCCAGGCUGUUCUUAUGGAUUUGUGGAAUCGUUAUAUUGCCUGCCAACCAAGCUAAAUUUUAUCCCCUUAGUAUUAUUACAUGUAUGUGUGGGUGUGUGUCCAAGCAAGGGCACCCAUUAGUUUUAUUCUCAUCGAAGACUGGGUCACCCAGGUACUUACUGUCAUGCCCUGUUUUAUUGAAUCGUUAUUGACCUAUUUCCCCUUUUGACUAGAACUGAUGAUCUGCUAAUAAAAUCUGAACCCAUUGGCAUUGAUUUCAUAUAACUAUACAGUCCACUCACGAAACGAUUGACCAAGGACCAACAUCGAUUUCCAAUUUUUCCUUGUUACAGUUUAGAGUAUCA